GAUGAACGCUGGCGGCGUGCCUAAUACAUGCAAGUCGAGCGAACGGACGAGAAGCUUGCUUCUCUGAUGUUAGCGGCGGACGGGUGAGUAACACGUGGAUAACCUACCUAUAAGACUGGGAUAACUUCGGGAAACCGUAGCUAAUACCGGAUAAUAUUUUGAACCGCAUGGUUCAAAAGUGAAAGACGGUCUUGCUGUCACUUAUAGAUGGAUCCGCGCUGCAUUAGCUAGUUGGUAAGGUAACGGCUUACCAAGGCAACGAUGCAUAGCCGACCUGAGAGGGUGAUCGGCCACACUGGAACUGAGACACGGUCCAGACUCCUACGGGAGGCAGCAGUAGGGAAUCUUCCGCGAUGGGCGAAAGCCUGACGGAGCAACGCCGCGUGAGUGAUGAAGGGCUUCGGAUCGUAAAACUCUGUUAUUAGGGAAGAACAUAUGUGUAAGUAACUGUGCACAUCUUGACGGUACCUAAUCAGAAAGCCACGGCUAACUACGUG
rnacentral:rRNA from 1 species